rnacentral:rRNA from 1 species
AUUGAACGCUGGCGGCAGGCCUAACACAUGCAAGUCGAGCGGGGUUUUCGGACCUAGCGGCGGACGGGUGAGUAAUGCGUAGGAAGCUACCCGAUAGAGGGGGAUACCAGUUGGAAACGACUGUUAAUACCGCAUAAUGUCUACGGACCAAAGUGUGGGACCCUCGGGCCACAUGCUAUCGGAUGCGCCUACGUGGGAUUAGCUAGUUGGUGAGGUAAUGGCUCACCAAGGCGACGAUCCCUAGCUGGUUUGAGAGGAUGAUCAGCCACACUGGAACUGAGACACGGUCCAGACUCCUACGGGAGGCAGCAGUGGGGAAUAUUGGACAAUGGGCGCAAGCCUGAUCCAGCCAUGCCGCGUGUGUGGAGAAGGCCUUCGGGUUGUAAAGCACUUUCAGUAGGGAGGAAGCGUUGUGUGUUAAUAGUACACAGCGUUGACGUUACCUACAGAAGAAGCACCGGCUAACUCUGUGCCAGCCGCCGCAGUAAGAC